rnacentral:rRNA from 1 species
ACGAAGGGGGCGAGCGUUAUUCGGAAUCACUGGGCGUAAAGGGAGCGCAGGCGGUUUAUUUAGUCAGACGUGAAAGCCCCGGGCUCAACCCGGGAGGUGCGUUUGAUACUGGUAAACUAGAAAUCAGAAGAGGAUAGUGGAAUUCCCAGUGUAGAGGUGAAAUUCGUAGAUAUUGGGAAGAACACCAGUGGCGAAAGCGGCUAUCUGGUCUGUAUUUGACGCUGAGGCUCGAAAGCGUGGGGAGCAAACAGG